GAUGAACGCUGGCGGCGUGCCUAAUACAUGCAAGUCGAGCGAACAGACGAGGAGCUUGCUCCUCUGACGUUAGCGGCGGACGGGUGAGUAACACGUGGAUAACCUACCUAUAAGACUGGGAUAACUUCGGGAAACCGGAGCUAAUACCGGAUAAUAUAUUGAACCGCAUGGUUCAAUAGUGAAAGACGGUUUUGCUGUUACUUAUAGAUGGAUCCGCGCCGCAUUAGCUAGUUGGUAAGGUAACGGCUUACCAAGGCAACGAUGCGUAGCCGACCUGAGAGGGUGAUCGGCCACACUGGAACUGAGACACGGUCCAGACUCCUACGGGAGGCACCAGUAGGGAAUCUUCGGCAAUGGGCAAAAGCCUGACGGAGCAACGCCGCGUGAGUGAUGAGGGUCUUCGGAUCGUAAACCUCUGUUAUUAGGGAAGAACGAAUGUGUAGGUAACUAUGCACGUCUUGACGGUACCUUAUCAGAAAGCCACGGCUAACUACGUG
rnacentral:rRNA from 1 species